rnacentral:rRNA from 1 species
UACGAAGGGGGCUAGCGUUGCUCGGAAUCACUGGGCGUAAAGCGCACGUAGGCGGAUUGCUAAGUCAGGGGUGAAAUCCUGGAGCUCAACUCCAGAACUGCCUUUGAUACUGGCGAUCUUGAGUCCGGGAGAGGUGAGUGGAACUGCGAGUGUAGAGGUGAAAUUCGUAGAUAUUCGCAAGAACACCAGUGGCGAAGGCGGCUCACUGGCCCGGUACUGACGCUGAGGCGCGAAAGCGUGGGAGCAAACAGG